rnacentral:rRNA from 1 species
CCUACGGGAGGCAGCAGUAGGGAAUCUUCCGCAAUGGACGAAAGUCUGACGGAGCAACGCCGCGUGAACGAUGAAGGCCUUCGGGUCGUAAAGUUCUGUUGUUAGGGAAGAACAAGUGCUAGUUAAAUAAGCUGGCACCUUGACGGUACCUAACCAGAAAGCCACGGCUAACUACGUGCCAGCAGCCGCGGUAAUACGUAGGUGGCAAGCGUUGUCCGGAAUUAUUGGGCGUAAAGCGCGCGCAGGCGGUUUCUUAAGUCUGAUGUGAAAGCCCCCGGCUCAACCGGGGAGGGUCAUUGGAAACUGGGAAACUUGAGUGCAGAAGAGGAAAGUGGAAUUCCAAGUGUAGCGGUGAAAUGCGUAGAGAUUUGGAGGAACACCAGUGGCGAAGGCGACUUUCUGGUCUGUAACUGACGCUGAGGCGCGAAAGCGUGGGGAGCAAACAGGAUUAGAUACCCUGGUAGUCCACGCUGUAAACGAUGAGUGCUAAGUGUUAGAGGGUUUCCGCCCUUUAGUGCUGAAGUUAACGCAUUAAGCACUCCGCCUGGGGAGUACGGUCGCAAGACUGAAACUUAAAUGAAUUGA